GUUAAAUAAAGCAACGGCGCCUCUUACUGAGCUCCGUGGCUGGAACACAACGAGCGCCUGGAAGUACGGUGGCCGCUACGGAAACCACAACUUUCGCGUGUUAAAUUUGAAACGAAUGUGAUCUGAUUCAAAACU